CAGUAGCCGCGGUAAUACGUAGGGUGCAAGCGUUAAUCGGAAUUACUGGGCGUAAAGCGUGCGCAGGCGGUUUUGUAAGACAGAGGUGAAAUCCCCGGGCUCAACCUGGGAACUGCCUUUGUGACUGCAAGGCUAGAGUACGGCAGAGGGGGAUGGAAUUCCGCGUGUAGCAGUGAAAUGCGUAGAUAUGCGGAGGAACACCGAUGGCGAAGGCAAUCCCCUGGGCCUGUACUGACGCUCAUGCACGAAAGCGUGGGGAGCAAACAGGAUUAGAGACCCGCGUAGUCCCUGUCUCUUAUAC
rnacentral:rRNA from 1 species